GGAUAGCUCAGUUGGUUCGAGCGUGCUGCUGAUAAUGCCAAGGUCGUAGGUUCAAUUCCCAUAUGGGAUGGCUGCA